UUGUUUUAUUCUUUAAAUUUUUUAAAAAUUAAACUCGUAAUUGUAAACACUUUUCCAAUUUUGUGGUGAUGAAGUACAAAUUCUAAUGCCGCCAUUUUUGAAACAUUUCAAGUGCUCCAUUUCAAAGCAAAGUAUAGCCUGUGGUAAUUAAAAAAGAGGCCUUUUUAAUGUCUAGCUUCUACCAGGCCCACAUUAAGGCCUGCUGUUAAGAAACAAAGCCUGGCAUGUAGGGUCAGACUGCAAUCAAGGUGUAUCAUUAGUACAGAAAGGAGUUAGAAGAUACUCCGCCCAAAAAUAUACUACAUAAAAUCUAAUAGUUUUUAUAGAUUUAUGUAAAAGUCAAGCAACAUAAAAUAUGAAUUUACAAGAUGGAAAGCAAAAUUAAAGGAUGCUAUUUUAUGAUGCUCCAAGAAUGGAAUCACUGUGCCAAAAUUUAUCCAAUUACUGGAGCAUAAACGUAUGAAAAAAAGAUUUAGAUAUAGUUUAUAAAACGUUAUUUUGGAUGUAGGAAAAGAGAGAAAGAGUAAGAAUUGCAGAAGGAAAAAGAACAUUUUUUAGUAGGAAUUGCAGAAAAAAAAUGGUAUUGUUUUAGUAGGAGAAGAUAGGAAGAUGAGAAAUUGUAGAGAAAAAAAUGAAAUUUUGUUGAGUAAGGAGAAAAAUUUUAAAGGAUAAAGAAGAC